AUUGAACGCUGGCGGCAGGCCUAACACAUGCAAGUCGAACGAGUGGCGGACGGGUGAGUAAUGUCUGGGAAACUGCCUGAUGGAGGGGGAUAACUACUGGAAACGGUAGCUAAUACCGCAUACCAUCGGAUGUGCCCAGAUUGGAUUAGCUAGUAGGUGGGGUAAAGGCUCACCUAGGCGACGAUCCCUAGCUGGUCUGAGAGGGUGACCGGCCACACUGGAACUGAGACACGGUCCAGACUCCUACGGGAGGCAGCAGUGGGGAAUAUUGCACAAGGGGCGCAAGCCUGAUGGAGCCAUGCCGCGUGUAUGAAGAAGGUCUUCGGGUUGUAAAGUACUGUCAGCGGGGAGGCGUUACCCGCAGAAGAAGCCCCGGCUAACUCCGUGCCAGCAGCCGCGGUAAUAC
rnacentral:rRNA from 1 species